GACCUACGGGGGGCAGCAGUGGGGAAUCUUCCGCAAUGGGCGAAAGCCUGACGGAGCAACGCCGCGUGAUCGAAUGAAGGCCUUCGGGUUGUAAAGAUCCGUUGACAGGGACGAAUAAGCAAUGCGAAUAGUUUUGUGUAUGACGGUACCUGUUUAGAAAGCUCCGGCUAACUACGUGCCAGCAGCCGCGGUAAUACGUAGGGGGCAAGCGUUAUCCGGAAUUACUGGGUGUAAAGGGAGCGUAGACGGGGAUGCAAGUCUGGAGUGAAAGGCGGGGGCCCAACCCCCGGACUGCU
rnacentral:rRNA from 1 species